CAGGAAUCAAAUUUCUAUUUCAAUUUUGUGUACAAGGGUAAAUGCUGGAAAGAAGUGUUCACUAUUCGGGGUGCCUGAAAUCUUGCACAUUCCGGUCUGCUAUUCCUUGCUGGGUCACCAAUGAUGUUUCCAACAUUCAACUAAAGUAGAUUUUGUUGUUAUUACAUAAAUGCAAUAUUGUUCCUCACAUUACAUAUGUAUUAACACAGGGCACUCACAGAGUAGAGUGUAGACAUAAGCAUGCAACAUAUAGUUUACCUUUCGAGGAUGAUCAACGCCCACUCUCUAACUGCAGGGCUGCUUGAUACUUUGUGCUAUCAGGUCCAAUCGAUACACUAGUGCUGCAGAAGUUGGUUGGUGGACCAAGCAGGGGCUCUGUCUCUUCAAAAUCAGUGCGAACUUCAACAUGAAGGCAUUUGCCGAUCAUUAGUUCCUCAAGUUCCAUUUUAACUUCCUUCAUUGUAGGUCUUUUCACUCCUUUGAAUCUUAAGCAACGUCUUGCGAGCUCAGCAACCCCCUUAAUCUGCUCCUGGUUUCCCUCAUUUCUCACUCGUUCGUGGAGAAUUUCAAACAAGCGGUCUUCUUUCAUUGAAGAAAUGAAGAAGGCAGCCAAACUUUUGUCCUUGUCUGGCCUAUCAGAAGAAAGUACCUUCUCUCCUGUUAAUAGCUCUAGAAGGACAACCCCAAAGCUAUACACAUCACUCUUUUCAUUCAACAAGCCUGUAAGUAAGUAUUCAGGAUCUAUGUAUCCAAAUGUUCCUUGAACCAAUGUAGAUAGCUGAGUUUGAUCGAAAGGAACCAAUCUCGAAACUCCGAAAUCGGAUACUUUGGCUUGGAAUUUAUCAUCAAGAAGUAUGUUUUCAGAUUUAACAUCUCUAUGAAUGAUAUGUAUAGGAGCGUCAGAGUGCAUAUGCGCAAGGGCACCUGCAGUUUCCACUGCAAUCCUCAGACGAGUUUUCCAUGGCAUGGAGGACCCACCAACUUGAUUGUGUAUGUGGUAAUGGAGGGUCUUGUUGGUAAUGAACUCAUAGACUAAUAAGGGAACUGAUGUUUCCAAGCAACAACCUAUGAGUUUUACCACGUUUGGAUGCUUGACUUGGCAGAGAACGACCACCUCGUUAACAAAUUGGUCAAUCUGAUCAUGGUCCAUAAAUCUGGACUUUUUGAUUGCUACUAAUUUGUGAUCUAAAGUUCCUUUGUAAACUAUCCCAAACCCUCCUUUGCCCACAAUUUCACUUUCAUUAAAAUUAUUCGUUGCCUUUUUGAGCUCAUCUUCGGUGAAAAUUUUAGCUUUCUCUGCAGAUCUUUCAAUCUUGGAGAGUAAUUGUUUCAACACUGGCCCACCAUUGUCUCUGAAGUUUUUCUUUUUUAGCUCGUUGAUUUUCCUUCUUUGAAGUCCCCAUGAUACAAACGCGAUGAUCACAAAUAGAAGGGAAACGGCACUACUUGCACCGAUGAUAGAUUUUGUCCACAAUGACAGUUUAUCUUCAGCAGUACAACCUGUUCCGUCUCUUCUUCCGUCGCCACUGUAACCCUUUGGACAGUAACAUUCAUAGCAUCCCACUGUGUUUAGACAAUUUUUGGUACUUAUACAUCGGUUGAGGCUAGGAUCCGCACACUCAUCAAUUUCUUGACAACCCUUUGAGAGGUAAGGAUUCCCCUUGUAACCACUAGAGCAGUAACAACGAUAUCCAGCAGGUUCAUUAUCAGAGUCAAGGCACAUACUAUUCUCCUUACAUGCAUAAGCUGUUCUGUUCUUUCUAGCUUCUUCACAUGUAGUGUCUCCGAUUGCCCAAUCAAGUACCACAGGGAACCGUUCUUUGUUUCGUAAAUUAACAAAAUCUAAUGAAGAAAAAUUAUACAUACCAUCUUCAACAACAAAGGCGUAGCUGCAGGGGUUGAAGUCCAAUAUGUUUGUGUGGUUUUU
rnacentral:misc_RNA from 1 species